CAAAGGCUUGGUCCUGGCUUUACUAUCAGCUUUAGCCCAAUUUAUACAUGCAAGUAUCCGCACCCCUGUGAGAAUGCCCUCAAUCCCCUGCCCGGGGACGAGGGGCAGGCAUCAGGCACACUUUCUAGUUCCGCCCAAGACGCCUUGCUACGCCACACCCCCAAGGGAACUCAGCAGUAAUAGACAUUAAGCAAUAAGUGUAAACUUGACUUAGUUAGGGCUAUUAGGGCCGGUAAAAUUCGUGCCAGCCACCGCGGUUAUACGAAAGACCCUAGUUGCUAGCCACGGCGUAAAGGGUGGUUAAGGACAACAAGGAAUAAAGCUAAAGACCCCCUGGGCCGUCAUACGCAUUUCGGGGGCACGAAGCCCUAACACGAAAGUAGCUUUAAAACACACCUGACCCCACGAAAGCUAAGAAACAAACUGGGAUUAGAUACCCCACUAUGCUUAGCCCUAAACCCAGAUGUACUCUUACACACACAUCCGCCCGGGUACUACGAGCACAGCUUAAAACCCAAAGGACUUGGCGGUGUCUCAGACCCACCUAGAGGAGCCUGUUCUAUAACCGAUACCCCCCGUUAAACCUCACCACUUCUUGUUUAUCCCGCCUAUAUACCGCCGUCGUCAGCUUACCCUGUGAAGGCCUAACAGUAAGCAAAAUGGGCCCACCCAAAAACGUCAGGUCGAGGUGUAGCGUACGAAGUGGGAAGAAAUGGGCUACAUUUUCUAUAUCUAGAAUAUUAAACGAAUGGCACCAUGAAAAUAAUGCCUGAAGGUGGAUUUAGUAGUAAAAAGCAAAUAGAGCGUCCUUUUGAAUUAGGCUCUGAGACGCGCACACACCGCCCGUCACUCGUCCCCUCUGUAAGUUCACCCAACAUUCCUAAUACAUUAUACAUCAACACGGGGAGGCAAGUCGUAACAUGGUAAGUGUACCGGAAGGUGCACUUGGAACAAU
rnacentral:ncRNA from 1 species